AUGAGUGGUUUUGUGUCUGAAACCUCUGCUCUUGUUAAAAGUAUCUUGUGUAUUAGCCUAGUUGGAGAUCUGUAAACCAGACCUUGGACCAAAAUGGAAGAUGCUACAUCCUUUUGCCCUGAAUAUGAACAAACUGAGCCUUUGUACUGACUCGGAGGAAUGUGGCUAUUAACAAUAAAUACCUUCCCAAAUUUUCUCUUCUCCAAAGUAGCUGGUCCAUACAUGAGCUUGUUUUUGUGGUAAUUCUUAGGGUGAGUGCAGCAGAAAACAUCAGAGCUCUCAUGAAAAGCAUUUUACAUCUUUUGUGCUCUGGGAACGGAAAGUAGAUAAAGCCUUGACUGCUUGCAGGUCUGCAAUACCUGGGAAAACAUUCCUAGUUACUUCCAGAAUCAUAGAUGAAGUGGAUUUCUCCAAGAUCUGCAGAAGUUUUGGGUGAAGGAGAACCUCCUGGAACGUAUCCCAGGAGUGCUCCCUGGCCUGAGAUGGAGAGCAGUGGAGUGGGAGUGAUCUCCUCUGGGUGAAUCCCAUUCAGUACCCAUCUGAACUGGAAAAUAUUGGGGAUUCUGACUGUGGUGGUGGUGGAGAUUUACUCUUCCAGUGCUAAAUCCAGAGAUAAAAGGGUAGAGACUGCAAUGAAGGGCUGUGAGAUGGGCUUGGAAAUCUCUGGUUAAUGCCCAGUAAACAAGUGUAAGCACUGAACAAAACAGGGAUUGUCACACUUGCCAGCUUUGCUGGAGAAGCCUUUGGGAUGAGUGGGCACCAGAAUUUCAAGCAAUCCCUCUCUCUCUGAAACAAUCUGCCUCAAGUUGAUGAUGAACAGCAUUGGGCUGGAAUAAACAAUCUCUGCUGCUGCUUCUGCCACAUUAUUUGUUUGUGGAUAAAUAAAGGCAUUUAAUUAACCAGACAUAUCAUUCCAUUCCUUUUUAAUAAGCUUGAAUUACACAUGCUGAGCAUCUGACUGCAGGUAUGGAAAAGCAGAUUUGUUUAUACCAGUUUUAAACAUCAGUCAAAUUAUUUUGGAUGCCAGUGAUACUAGACUACAAGUCUCACCUCUUCUCCUUUAGGGUCUCACUUUUUAUGUAGAUUUUAAAAACUGUAUUCAAAUGAGGUUUUGACCGAAACUGAAUCACUAUGUACUUGAAAGCUAAAGAGCUUAUCAGGCAUCUGAUAAUGUUUUCAGGAUUUCCCCCGAUUAGACCGCGGAGAGUACAGACAGGAAGCUGAAGUAUUGAGCGCCUGACCAGAGCUUCCUCCUGCGCAGGAGUGGGGGUUUCUCUGACUUGAGUCUUUAGCUCUACAUACAUGGUCUGAACCUUGACAUCUAAAGGAUAAAAAGCACCCAAAUCCCCCAGUUGGGUCCUCUGAGCAAGGCGAAUGGAGCGCUUCAUUUAAGUCCCACUUGCAAGAGAACAAAGCGGAGUGACGUAAAAUAGAAAAUAAGAAAUGCAAACCUGUGGUGGCUGAAGAGGAGGAAGGAAAAUGAAAGAGAAAAAGCUGAAGAGUGGGAAAAAGAUAAAAUAAAAUGAAUUUUGGGGAUUCCACUGUGAGUAAGAGCUGAAAAAAAUGUAAGCUGAUUUAUUACAUGCUUAUCUUCUGCCUGAGAGCCAGAACGCUUUGUAUACGUGAAAGGUAACUUGCGCAUUAAAGAUUGAAUCAAAAUGCCAAAUUCUUCCUCAAUUCCUCCAGCUUUAAACCAAAGUAAUUCUGUCAGCUUCGAUGGAUUUACAUUUUGUAAACAGCAGCAGAAUCAAGAUCAAAUGUUUUAAGUCAUUUUGAGUUAUAUUUAUGCUAAAACGAUAAGAAAUUUAGAAUGACUUUUAAAUACUGUUUUGUCAAGGAAUCUGCACAUUUUGUAAUGCUUUCCUUCACUGGGCAGGAAAUUUUUUUGCAAUUGUCCUUCCAGCUCUGUUAUUAAUUUUAUUCUGAAUCCAAUGACAAUUCAGUAACAAGGGGUGGUGGUAGCGUUAUGUGCAUUAGUAUUUUUCUUGCAUUAUGAUUUAUGUAUGUUGGGAUUUUUCUUUUAAAACUGUAUCUUAACCCACUUAAAUAACAACUACUUAAACAGGGGGAGGAUGUGAGUUAGUUGUUGUAUGUAUUUUUUAAUCUCUCUCCACCAAAUGCCACUGAUUUUGAAAAUACAAUGUUUGAUUGCAGCUGAGGGGUUUGACUGGCUGUACCUGCUUUUCUUUCACAUUGAUCUUUUACUUUUUUGAAGAUGGUUUAUUUAUUUUAACUCUAUGUGCCCUGAGCUUUUCUUGGCAUCUUGGAAAGGUGCAGAGAUGGAUUUAUGGGAUCUGCAGGGUAAGGCAGCUCCCAUCCCUCUAUUAGCCUGAUUAGAGUCAGGCAGUUACUCUUUUCUUUUUCAGAAUCAUUUGCUUGCUGAAAAAUGCAGUUUUGAAUGAACUAAAAUUAUUUAUAAAGCCCAGCUGAGUGCAGCAAAUAGUAUCAGGUAAUAUUUUAAUAAUUAAGCCUUAUUUUUUUUAUUUUAAAAUACUGUUUUCAUUUUCUCAAUUGCCAUAGUUUUGGUGCAGACCAUUGUUGGGACCAACUAUAUUUCACAGUCAUCUGGGAGAAUGUUGAGAUUUUAUUUUCUGUGGGAAGUGGUGAUGAAAAUGUGAAUUAUUUUGAUGAUAAAAUGUAUACUUUUAUGUCUUUUUAUUGGUCAAAUGAAACACAUUAUCCAUCUUUUCCCAUAACUAAAAAGGAAAGGAGAAAAGUCAAUCUUCAUCAUUGAAAUAGAUUUUGUGUAUGAUUUUUGAACCAAUUCCCUAAUGUUGUAAGCAAGGCUUGAGCUGUUCUCUUUUCUGCAGCUUUUCAGGUAUCCAUAUUUCAUCUCAUUUUGCUGUGGGGAUGGGGCUUCGCAGGUGCUUACACCAGUUUUGUUGUUGGAUAAGCAGGUCUCGGGGGCAGCGGGAGGUUGAGGAUUGCUGUGAUGGCAGGACAAGGGCUUGCAGUGGGGGCUCUAUGGCAAGAAAGAGGUUUCAAAUAUGUCAAUGCAUACCUGUGAGCUUCUUGGGGGGAUUCAUUAAGGAGAAGUCUGAAAAAAUUGAUUCAAAGCUGCAUUUAAUCCUUUAGUGGAUACUGGAUAUCCGAGUCCUGCUGGCAAAUCUAGUGAUCUUAUGCUGAAAGUCUGUACCUUCAUCAAAGAACGUCUUUGCUUUUCACUGUAAUCAUUACAUCUAAUCAACAUACAUGACUAAAUAUUCUAGAUGUCACUGUGUUGAGUUUAAAUAGUGCCUGAAAUUAUUUUCUUUAAGAUCAGAUCUGAUGAGCUCAAGGGGAACAAGAUCUAAAAUCCCGAAUAGGAGGCGAGCGUAUCCUGGAGGAGGGGAGCGCCAGGUCCCCACAGGCUGUGUCCGCGUUCCUCAGCCUUUCCUAAGAGACCCCUUUGAAACAAAAAUCCUGGAUCAUUUUGUGGGCAGGAAAAGGAGCUGUCUGCACCUGCAGCAUCCCGAGGCUGGCGCCCAGCUCUGCCCCCAGCACUACAGCAUCGCUGCCGGCGGGCCGGGAUGCAGGGGCAGUUUUUCAUCUUCUCGGUGAGGCUGCUCAUGUACCAGUUUCUGGUGGCUGACAGCAGUGGGCCACAGGCUGAGUAGUGCCGUCCAAAUAGCUUGCAGUGAUUAGGGUGCCUUAACUGGGUCACAAUUCAUUGCUCUCAUGCUAUUCUAUUAACUGUCAUGUACCUUUGUCUGAAUUAGCUAUGGCCAGUUUCCACAGCAUUUGAGCUGUUUCGUUAUUCUGAUGUUACACUGGUUCAUUUCAGUGAGUUAAUAUUGAAACAGGCCAUGUAUGUAUUGGAAGUUUGCUAUUCAUUGACUACUAUAUUUUCAGUAAAUACAGUAUAGUUACAAUAUAGAAUAUAAAUACAGUAAUCUUUAUAUUUCAAAUAUUUAUAUGUUGAACCUAUUUGAAGAAAAAACCCUCUGCUUUCUAAUUGGUUACUAACAUUACAGUUAUUACAGAAUAAUCUCCUUGCUGGAUGAUCAUCACAUUCCUUUUUUAAAUAAUGGGAUGGUUAUAAAAAGGUGAUUAAUUAAUGCUUGCCUUUUUGUUUUUAACUGCUUGUACAGAGCCUAACUGUUCUGAGUUAAUAAUAUAUAGUAUAGUAGUUUUGUAGUGACAAAUACUGUAAAUAUAUGUAUACUUUUGGCAGUUGACAUAUCGCCAGUUCUUUUGAAUGUUUAAAAAUGUGGAAAUAGGAAGGGAGCAAGAAAUAGCCAUCUACUUUUUUCCUUUUUAUAUUUUCCCUCUCUUCCUAUAUUUUUGGUUGCUUAGACCACAUCUGGAAUGUAUGGAUGGAUGAGUCAUUUUGAGCUCAUUGCCUUCCACUACAUUUACCAGGAGCUGGUUCAGCUGUACAUCUCAUCUCACCCCCCACCUGCCAGUUCACAGGGUGUCACCUCCAGCAUCUGCCAUGGGUUUGGCGACCAGAUGUCCCAACCAAGGGAGGAGACAUUGCUGGGUGUGGAGUCAGCUCCGUGGUCCAAGAGGCAGGCCUUUUCCUGCUGCCUUCUUAUUAGCCAGCUCCUGUGAACCUUCGUGUUUGUUCAGAGGGAAAAUUUAUCGCUGGAAUGAUAAAGAACAGAUAGAGAUGGAUUUUCACAGAGCUGUAAGGGCUUGUAACUUCUCAGUUCUUACUACCCUGAUUAGCAUGCUGAAAACUGGCUUUCCAGCUGUCCCUCUUGUUUCUCAAAACAUCUGGGCACUGUUAAUACAGCUGUUACUGCAGUCGUUUCAACACGCAAAAUACGUGUUUUAGACUGUUUACAUUCUUCUACACUGUGUUUCAUCCUGUCAUCUAAGAAUAUGUAUAUAAAAAAAAAUUAUGGAGCCCAUAAAUAUUUUUAUUUCUUUUCACUACGAAAGACUUGCUGAAAUUUCCCCCAGGCAUGUGACCUAUUCUGGCUUACUGAGAGUACAACUGAAACUAUACUGUAUUGUAACUAUACUGUGAGUAUAUGCUGUAGAGACUACUAAAAAUAAUACUCUUUGUUAUUAUUACUGAUGGCCAGAACUUUAAAAAUAUAUGAAAUAACAUUUUCAUUGUGCAGUUUUCCAUAUUAUUAUUUUAGCUAACUGCAAUGUAUGUAUAUAUGGCCAACUAGGUGUAAAAAUAUAUUUUUCCUAGUUAUUUAUGCCUGGUAUGUAUUUUGCCAUGUAUUUUUUCUUUAAAUUAGUGAAAAAAUACGAAAACCAUGGGUAAAAAAUGAAAUGGAAUAUGCAAUCAUUUUAUACUUCAUGAAGGAAAAUGGUCUGUUGCACAAAGUACUGUGUUGUUGGAAAAUGUGAUUAAAAUGGAGACAACAGAAUUGAACCUUCAGAUAAGCAGAGUGGAAUAAUUCUACGGGAGAGGAAAUUGAAUGUUUGUUAUUUGUGAUAUAGGCAUUGGCAGUAGAAAUAUAACUACCACUUGAAAUUAAAAAUGCAUCCAGGAAAUAACUGGGAGUUUCAGAAAGCAUAUUGGGAACAAAUGCACUUGCUUCUGCCAAGCUCAAAAUAUAUGGUUGGGCUAAUACCAAUUCACCAUGAGUUGUGAUUUUGUUUUUUUUUUUUUUUCAAAUACAAAUUAACUGUUCCAGAUUUUUUUAAAAACCUUAUUUUUUUUCUGUUGUUUUUAAUUUAUGGUGAGAGGACAAUGAAAGUGUCUGUGUAGUUUCAAGAAUGAAGUCACUAUGGGCCUGAUGCAUUUGACAUCUUGAAAGGUUCAGGAGAAGGAACAGGCAGUUCUCACCUGACAUUGCUGAUGUUCUUACUGGUGUGGUGAGAGCUCGGGACGUUUCCUUGGAGUAGAGUGUGCUUAACACCAACGUAUCUACAUCUGAUACGAACUGCUGGGUACUGGCAGAGUUUAGCUAGCAAGAGCAAAGCUUGGGGGUGCUUUUUCUUUAAACUUUGGUCUUGGAUUUUUCAGUGGCAAACACGAUUUUUGCACACCCCAGAAAGAUUAAUAUCUUCUCUGCAUGUGAGCACUCUUUGCCUGUAAAUGUGCAUACUCGCUUUCCUGAAAGGGAUUAAUGAUAUUUGAGGUGUGUUAAGAUACUGGCAGUGUUUGCAUUGUACCCAAGCAAUGGUGUCAAGACUUCCUUGUAGAUCAAGAAUUCCUAAGCAGACCCGCUCUGCUGUCAGUAGGAGGGAUGGAAGGAGACCUGGUCAGUGUAGAAAGGUCUUAACUGUUUUUGAUGUGAUGCGGUGUAACCCUGAGUGGGGACAAGGCAGGUUGCCCAUGUCCAGCACACCAUGUAGCUCCUAUGGAGCAGUGCAUUGGGGAAGAAAUACUGUGGAGAGCAAGGGAGGCUGCUUGCCCCAGGCAGAGUGGGGACAGCCUGGCCAGGGGAUGCUGCCUCGUGGAAAGGUUCAAGAAAAGUGGGACUUCUGCCCCAGUGUGGCUCUCAGAGCACACAGCCCCGCCUCGACACGGUUUCAACCUGAGGGCUUCUGCUGAGCCCGUGUGCGGCUGCCUCUGGUGCCACCACGGUCCUUUCUGUUUUCCCUCUUUUUUUAAUCUCAAGGUCUCCAGAAUGACUUCACCUUCCAUUUUGCCUCCUUGUUCCGGCUAACCAGAUGCCAGUGUAGCUGUGAGAUAUGUAUUUUUCCACUAGCUGUGGGGAAAAUGUAUUUAACUAAAUAAGAGUGAAGAAGAUACAUUAUGCUCCUAAUGAAAUGUGACCAUAUUAAUAUUUUACUUCAAGUUCCCCAUUGGUGCUAAUUAAUUACCACCCAUGAUGAGCUCAUUUGAAUGGUAUCUGGAUUUCAUGUGAAGCUGCAGUAGAUCAUUGACUGGUUAAGAAGCAUUAAAAUCUCACUCUGGUUGUAUGUUCAGACGAACGUUGAUGUAUUAAAAAGAAAGGUAGUAAUGGCAACAUAGAGAAUAGAAGUAUGGGAUGAUGAGGAAAAUGCAGAGAAUUUACACAUUCCAUUAACUUGAUGGCUUGAGGAUUUUUGUAUCCUUUUCCUGUUAAAACAUAUUUAAUUCAAAGGGAAAGUUAUGGAAGAAUAGUCUUCAGGCACUUAACAUUACUUAAUCACUCUAAAAAGGUUUGUCUUUUGGUGUAGCAGUACAACUUUAUACGAUGAUUACCUAUUAAGUAUCUGUCCUGUAGGAAUAAUUAAUUCUGGUGUUAUAAGAUCUCCAAGCUAUGAGGUACUUAGUGACCUUGCUGGAAUAGGAAAAAAUAAUAUUUUUUUAAGAAGCAGAUUUAUGGCCUGUUGAAAAGAUUCACCUCCUCAGUGCUCUUGCAAAGGCAGAACAAUAUAAUUUUAUGGGCUGUCUUCUUUGCAAAUGCAUGAAUUUAAUCCUUGAGUAAAUGAGUUCUCAGGGGGAGGUGGGAACUCCAGGGGUGACACUGAAAGGACAGAGGAUGGCACAUGUGAAGUUGAUAAAGGGUUAAAGCAGAGCAUGGCUGAAACUGGUACCAUGUCUUUUUGUAAGAUCAGAGAGAACUAAUGUACUGCAACAAUACUAAACUCAGCAGGCAAAUGGAGAGAGUUUGACUGUUUCUCCUACCUAGUUAAAAAUCUUCUAAAACCAGCUUGCCUUGAAAAUGAUUGUGGAAUUAUGAUGGACCAGUCCACGCCUGCCCUGUAGGGAUUUCACUAAAACACUGGUAGAGAGCUUGGCCAGGCUGUCCUCCCCAGGGAGACCUUUGGGUCCAUCCCAGAGCUUUGGGAGGCAGUGGGGCUGCAGGUUCCCGAGUGUGACAGAGCCACCUUAAAGCACAAUCACCUGUGGCCCUGUCCUGGGGACAUCUGCUCCCCAUGCUCAUCUCCUUAGGGGGUGGCAGCUCUGCAGGCGCUUGCCUGGGCGGUGGGUGAGGUGGGCUUAUCUUCCCGUGAGCCCAGGGCAGGGGAGCACCCCUGCACGCAGCGCUCACUGCCCUCCUGGCCUGGCUGCGGGCUGCUGCCGUGGGGCCACCAGCAGUGCCUGAGCUGGCCCAGCGCUGCCGCCGGCCCCUUUACUGUGUUUUGUGGAGGGGGAUUUAAUUUUUUUCCUUGCCAUUAGAGUGCCUGGUUGUGCAAUGCAAACGAGUGGCCAAGUGAGGUGUCCCCAGCUGUGUGUGCUGAACACACUGGUGCCCCAGGGGUGCCAACUCCUCCUGGGUACCCUGUAGAAACAUGGAGCACUUAACACAGGGGACUGUCCCCGGGGCUUGGCACAUCCAUCCUUUAUUCUUCCCGACCCUUUCUCUGCUUUACCGUGUCUUGUUUUCAUUGAUGGUUGUUUGAUUUUCUAUUUUUUUUCCUGCCUGAGACUGGAAGAGUGAUUACCACAGAAGGGCAGGGCUGCUGGCAAAUGUCUUGCUAAAUGUCAGCAACGUUCUUCUUAGCAACGUUCUUCUUAGCAAGCAGUACUCCAGUGACCAGGCAGAAAAAUCAGACAAGCAAAAUUUAUUGCUAUGGUAUUGUAUUCCAUAAUUACAGAUAAAGUUGCAUAUUAUUUGAGGACCUUAACAAGAAGUUACUUUUGUUAACUUUGUUAAUUUUUCUUUCCUGUAAUAGAAGACUUACAGAGUCAACCGACAGAUCUGUGGGAAUGAACGGGACUGUGGGCACCACAAGAGAGUUACUUUGCAAAACGUUUGUUCAGGGGUUUGCCUCCCAGCAAGAGAAAUAGUUAAAGAAGCAUAUUUUUAAUUUCUGUUGAUUGGCUGACUGGUUCUACAGCCUAAGAAAACAAUUAGAGCCGUGAAGACAUGGGCACGCUGUUGGAUGCCACAGCAGCAGAGCUGCUGGAAAUCCUGCCAAGCAAUACGCUCGGCCUGGAGCCUCCGCUGGGCUGGCUGCGUGUGUCACUAAUUUAGCUGAAAAAGUGGCACUGGAUGUUAUCAAGAAUCAUUCAUUGCAGUUUUCUCAGAUAUUUGUUGUUCAUUUGAGACAAAGGUUUUAGAGAUAAAUUUAAGAGCUGUUCCUAGUUAAAUUAAAUGAUUUAGAAAAACAGAUAGUAAUUGCCCAGGGACAGGCUAUAAAAAGAACCAGGAUUUCCCAACCAUGCAGUGCUGGCUGCACAAUUACUGGUACCCCUGUCCUCAGCUGGACAGUGAGCUUUGACUUUCUGCUAGGGACAAGCAAAAUUUUGAUUAUAAUAAGCUGGGCUUUUUCUAGUCAAAAUAAAUGGAAAUAUUCUGCAGUUUUAAAUCAAAUUACUUUCCCAGGCAAAAGCUAGAAACUCCUCGAUGCUUUCUAAUUUUCACUCAACAUUUUUAUUUCAAAACAAUUUAUAGUUAUUUAUAAUUUAAGAAAAGCAGUACUAAACCAAAGUAAUUAAUUAUCUUUGAACCAUUCUGUUAAGUACAUUUACUUAAAUUUAGUUAUUAAGGCUAAAAGAUUUAAUCUGGAAUCUCCUUGACCUCCAAAUAUUUUAUUACAGAUCAAAUAUUUCUUUUCAUCAAACCCAAAAGGGAAUUUUUUGUGAUACCUCGUCUCAAUGGAACAUAAAGAAAUAUGUUUUAAAUGGUCCAAAUAAAUCUGAUAUUUUUUUAUAAUUAAACCAGCACUGUUUAUACAUGGUGUUGUGCAGACAUAACAUCUAAUUUACAGAUGCAUGCAUCAUCCAGCAUUUUAUCCCUUCUGUUUUUUCUCAAAAAUUCCAAGUUUGGGGUAUGCAGUUUAAUGAGACUUGUGACUUCUCUCAGGCUUGUAAGAAGCGACGAGGUGUUUCCUGUCUCAAAUGUCAACUUUGAUCUUCAAUGUGUUUGAACAGUGUUGAUCUGUAGUCCAGUGCUCCUGCCUUUGGGUGAGAUUGUCACCCUGGGAUGAGGUUGUCACAUCAGACCAAGUUGUGUCAGGACACAACCAUACAGCUGUAAUACUGUUUGCCUUUUCACCACUCAGAUUCUGACAACUCUGAAAGGCUGUACCAGUGUCACUUUUCCUUCUUUUGAGCUUCUGGAUGGAUUAUUCUGUUAACAAAGAUUGCUGUGCAGCUCUGUAAGAUUUUACCUCCAUGUCUGUGUCAUUGUACUAGAAAAAAAAAAAAGGAAGGAAAUUUAUACCUUACCUCUUUGAAAUUCUCAAAAGCUUCCAGAAAAGUGCAAAAUGUUAUACUGUUAUACUCUUUGGAUAUAAAUGUCAUUUUUUUAUUACUAAGAAUUCUGCUGUGUGUUAGGGCACAUUCUGUCUAUGUGUGUGGGCACUUCUGGUGCCAAAAGAAAACAAAAAAUAGCCUAUUUUUCAGUAUAUAUGUCCUUGGGCUAUUAGUCUGUGUCUGACCUACAGUCUGGGUAGAAUUGUUUUGGCUGCAGUGAAGGUUUCACUCUUGUGUUUUACAGCACCUGGACGGCGGCCAGGCACUGGAGAGAGCGAGCAGGAGUAUGAGACACCACUGUGCGUCAGGACAGCCUUAAAAUGAAUGUCGUGUAUUCUCAGCUUUGAGAACUGAAUUCCAUGGGUUGUAAUUGAAUUCGCUGUCAGACCCAUGGGGCUCAGUUCUUCAGCUUGGAUAUUUCUGUCUUCACAUACACAGGAGAUCAAAGAAGCACUUGAUCAUUUGCUGACUCUUCUGGAUGGUGAUAGCAGCAAGUAGGAGAGAAAGAAUAACUGAUGUGAAUCAUUUUAACAGGGAGGUUUCAUUGCAGAAGCCUGGCUCUCUCAUGUUAAAUAGCUAUACAGUGAUCGAAUCUUUUCUCAGCUGAUAGGUUCUGUGUUGCUGCUUGCUGUUUAAUUCACUCUGUUCUUUCAGUUUUAUCAAGGUUACAUAUAAAUCCCUGAGAUACUGUUGGUUGAAUGAUGGAUUCCAAAUAUUGCAAAGUGGUGCAAUGCUCCUAACGACAGCUGUGGUGAGCUACACUAGAACAGUGACACCCUCAUCCUCCCCAGGCUGAACACCAAGUUUGCCAGCUGACAAUCUGCUGUAACCUCCUCUGUCUGCUAACACUGCUGCACAGUUAUUGUUUCUUUUGCCUCUGUCUUAUGCCAAAUACCCAUUUUCAGAAAAAAAAAAAAAAAAAAAAAAAAAAGAACCCAAAAAAUCUCUGUUGUGACUGUAAAGAAUAUGUAUUUGUACCAGCCACUGGCACCCUUGCAUAAACACAGAUUUGCUUUCCUGAAGAUGAUAAUGUGCUCCCAAAGUGUUUGGAUUAGGGAGAUUCUAGUGUAAUCAGCGAUGGCAAUGUAUGUGCUCAGCAGCACAAGCUUCCCCUUAUAGGGGGAUUCAUUUAAGUCACAGCCUGAUGUUUAUUUUUCUUGAAGGAUGUAUGUUUGAAUUUUUCAUGCAAGCAUCAGGAAAAUAAUAUUUGUGGUCUUUAGGAAGAGUUAUAAUUACCAAUGAGCUUUCUACCUCUUUCCUGCAAUGAUAAUACCUUCCUAAAUUACAUUUUUCCAAAUCAGUAAAGUGGAUCAUGCACUGAUCUUAUCCCCAUGGUGCAAUGCACUUAAAAUCACAGAAAUAUUAAAAUCCCACAGGUGCAGGAGCAGCGUGUUCAGCUAAGUAGCUUAAAACUGUCAUAUGCCUUUUAUUCUGAAAAUGUAUUUACACUAAAAAUAAUCAGAUAUAAUCACUGUUGCCUGUGGAUACAGAUGUACCUUCAUAUUGAUGUGCUUUUCAUAUAAAUUAUGCUAGGGGUUGAAGAGUUUCUUUGUGGUUGUCUGAAAUGUAUCAAGCUCAUCAGUCUAGAGAUUAUAGUUCUUGGAAGAGCUCACCAGUUCCACCAGCUCCUGCUGCAGGAAUAUCCAGGAGUGAGAAAUGCACAAAGCAAAGGAAGAUAUUGAAGUUUAAUUUUUUUCAUUUCCUCUAUCAUCCCUGCCAGAAAGAGGAAAUGAAAUUUCAGGUCAGAGUUAGCAAAAUCUGCAAAAGAAGAGAGGGUGAGGGAACAGUUUUACAGGAUAUCUGAUGCAGACAGCACAGUGGAUGUUAGAUGGCUGAAGGCGCAGAACUCAACCCGCUCCCUUCACUAUGAAGCCCAGCUUCCAGGUAGUGAUGUAGCAGAGAAGACGAUGUGUGUACAGUGGUAACCACACGAGACCACGGACGAAAUCAAGAUGGUUUUUGAUACAGGAGUCUUUGCAGUCCCAUCUCUAAGGGCAGUCCUCAAAAUGCAGCGUAAGUAAUGCUUUUUUUCUCAAAAGUCUACGGUAAGUCAUGAAAUAAUAAUAGCACUAUUGAUGUUAUCGCAAAUUAAACUUCAGUAGGUAAAACAUGGAGGUGUUAACAAGUCAUCAUCGUGUGACAGGACAGAUAACAGGGCUAUUCUGAUAAUGGCUCAUGCCUGCAAUCGCAGGAGAGCUGGGGGGGUUCCUGUGGUGCGAUAGAGCUGUGCAUGUGUACCCCCAGGUUCCUCACUCCCUACACAUUCGUACACCAGGUUACCACACCUUUGGUGAACUGCAAAUGGGACAUACUGCCAAAUAGUUGGUGGCUACGUCUGCAUGACCCUGAACCUCCCCAAGUACCGUGGGCUGCCAGUGUCUAGGUGGAAGUCAUGAAACUUCUGCCGAGCUCUUGAACUCCAGCUCUCCAUGAAUGUUUAGCUUGCAUGUGGGAAAACAGUCACACAGCCCAUGUGUAAUGAAAAAGCAGUUGGCACUUGUGCCUUGAGCAAGCAUAUAUUCUGGUCAUAGCUGUUCACGUGAAAAAAGGUGAAGGAAAGAGCUGUUCCCAGAAUUUGUUAUUCUCAAGCCUUUUUUCUCUCAAAACAGCCUAGGUGCUUUCUGUGCUCUACAAUUGCUGCUGGGCGAGAGAGAGCAGAUUAAAACGAUUAAGCACAGAGCUAUUUUGAAAGCAGAAGCAGGCCUGCCUCUCAGCCCCGCAGUGACCGACCACUCAGAGUGCUCUUUCUCUGCUACAGGCUGCACAGUCACUUUCAAACCUUGCUUGCCUGGGGUGACAAGGCAUCUUCUUUUUGGAUAUUCUUGGGAUCUUUAAGCCAGAUAUGUUUUCAAGUCCCAGACUGUCCUACUGACAGUGCUGUGUCUUUCCGGCUGAAUAGGAUGUAUUUUUAGCAUGCGGUUUCAAACCGAUGUACCUUCUUUCUGCCUGAUGCUGCUGCCCUGCAGUAUACACGUGUAUUCUGCUUCUGUGUAACCAGGGCAGUGCUCAGGCUGCCCCAGCGCAGCUCUCAGCCCAGCCAGCCUGCAUGGGGAUACGUGCCUCUUGGCACACCGGGUAAUGCAGUCUCACACUGCCAAAGGUAAAGCGACUCGGUGACUCAUUUCCCAACACUCUGUCAGACGUACAGCCCGUUAGGUGUAUUGACUGAUACAAGUCCUUGCUGAAUUAACCAGCUUUCACAAGCACUAGAAGUGAAAGCAUCACAACUCCGAUGGCUGUGUCUCUUCUGAAGGAUUUUCUCAUCUCCUGUUCCCUGACUUAAAAAACUGAACCCUUUAAUCUGAUCCUCUAAAUAUUUCAUUUCAGAGUGAAAUUCUGAUUUUUCAUUGUACUUUUUUUUCCUCUUGGCAGAAUCGUUCCAGUGAAUUCAGCUAUAUUUGAUAGUGCUGCUGUAGAUUUGAAACUCGAUUUUGGGGCAAAUAAAGCAUAUGCUAAAAAGAUACACCCUCUCUAUAUGUUUUUCAAGCUGAUCUGUGCCACCUCCUGGUGCUUAUUCACAGGUCUUACUGUUUAUCUUGUUCUGAAUAAACCAAUGGGCUUAGUUCCCCUGGCACAGGUCUGGCAGAGCUGCAGGGCUACCUUCAUUUUGCAGAUGAAUAAACUGAGAGUCAAAACACUUAAAAUGGAGAAGCAGCCCUGAAUUCUGUUGCAUGCUUGUUGUUCUUCACUUGUGGCUUUCUGCUUACUAUUCACAACAAAUAAAUGAGGACAAACACCUACACCCUUCGUCUUCUGAUGUGAAUGUGCCCCAGUGUCACCCACUGCCACUGUUUGUGCGCUUUGCUGCCUCCCCCUCCCUUUGCUGAUAUUUUGUCCCCACUUCUUGCUCCUUUAUGCCUCUCUUGGGCACCUCCCUUCUGGGUUUUUUUUUUUGGCUUUUCUCCCCUGUAUAUUCUGGGAUUUUUUAUUUUCUUUUAGCUAAUCCCCCAGGACUUUUUGCUCCCUGCUUCAGGAUAGUGUUUGAAUCUGGCGAAAAAAACCAAACCUCAUGAGUGCUGGAGGGGCUUGUGCUCUACUUCAGAAACAGAAUGGAAAUAAAUGGCAAAGCAACACAGAGCGUGGAGUGGACAGAGGCAGAGAGAGAGGAGCUGCCGCAGCACCAGGUCUGCAGGUGUUUGAUGUUUUGCAUUGCAGGUAAGCUGAGAAAGGUGCCCUGUGGCAUGAAGCACUGCUCCCUUUUGCUGCUUCCCACCCAUCAUCUUCCCCUUAAGCCUCUGCAUUUCUUUAUACUAUGUGUGCCUUGUCCAGUGAAUGCCAAUGAGGUGGUAGUGCAAACUGCAGACAGACAUUUAUUCUCAGCAAAUGUUCUUAGGCCUUUUCAAACGAGUGGCUGCGCAUUGCACACUCCUGCAGAGCCGGCUCUAUGCGUGCUGCCCUUUGGUACCCCAAGACAAGACAGCUGUUGCCAACUAUGCCUCAUCUUUUUGGCUAGUAUCCCUUUUUGCUUCCAGGAAAAUGAUGAGUUUAUGUCAGGUUCAGUAAUCCUGAUGUCUGCACCGCUGAGAGAAAUAGCACUUUAAUGUGAGCAUGAGUGUGCAUGUGUAUAUAUGGAAACUACCGCUUUGACAAGCUUCUCAUCUGCCUUGGAAAAGAAACAGCAGGGCUUAAAAGCUGUGGAGUCACAAUAUGCUGACUAAGGUCACUAGUUUUCAGUGACUCACAAUCUGUUUUUCUGGCAGCCAAACCAUACAGCAGGUUGUGCUUUUUUUAAUCUUCUGUUUCUUUCCUUUAAAAAAGCUAUACAUCAGAAAAGUUAAUACCUAAAGAUAUCCUGGAAGGUCUGUCCCUUUGACAAGAUACAUACACUCUGUUCACUGGCAUCCCUCCCUCAUGCUGCUGUACCAGCCAAUUUUUGUACUAGGAAAGAAACAUUUAAAAUUUACAUUAGUUAUUUUGAAAGAUAUUUGCUAGGUUGUCUUUCUGGUAGUCAUCCUUAUUUCCCAUUUUCUGACCAUUCCUUGCUGAAGCAGGCUGUGCCAUUCUCUCACUGAGGCACUGAGAUGUUUCUGUCUCCGUUAAGUAUCUAAAAUAAGGGAACUUCCACUGUUUUUUUAUUUUCUGUGUUAAAGAUAGGACUUACAUUGCCUCAGCUCUCAUGUAUCACGGAAUCAUAGAACGGUUUGGGUUGGGUUGGAAGAGACCCUGAAGAUCAGCUAGUUCCAACCCCCCUGCUGUGGGCAGAGAACUUCCACUAGACCAGGUUGCUCAAAGUCUGAUCCAGCCUGUCCUUGAAUGUUUCUUUGAAUACUUGGAAUUAGUUAGAAGAAUCUGCCAAUAUAAGGGUUUUUUUACUUCAUUUUCUAUUUUUUUAAGGUUUUCUCUGACUUUCCUUUGCUUUUUUUUCCUUUCUCUUUUGCCCUGCAAAUUUUUUUUUGUCUACUACCUCUCAAAAAAAGUAUUGAUUUUGGAACAAAUAAACACAGCCAUGGGGGAAGGAAGCUGUUUCAUUUCAAGAUGUGAAGGAAAUUUUAAAAUCAGAUUUGAAAUAAAAAUACGUUGCCCAGAAGAUUCGUCUGUGUGGAUCAAUAUCUGUUGCUUGCCUGCAACCUCCGCUGCUGUGCGGGCGAUGGCAGAGCAGCACAAGCCUUCCUGCAUCGCUGCCCAAGUACUGAGAGCUCACACAGUGCUGGCAGCAUUUGCUGGGAUGCUGCCAAAUAAAUGAAGAGCAAUAUUUUCUUCAAAAAGCAGAAAGCGUAUUGAAAGUUUAUAUGCUGUGUUUGUGAAAAUCUCGGAGUCAGUUGAUUAGGAGCUUGAAGUUGGUCGGACUCCUUCCAGCUUCUCCACUUCACCCUCGUUUCUGCGUGAUACUGCAGCUGCUCUGAUGAAAAACAGUUAUUUAAAAAUUUGCUUGUAGCUAUGGCAACCUUCAUGCACUGUAUUUCAAUGGAAACUCUAAAACAGCAACAGAAGUUUCUUAAUAGGAUAUUUAAGAAGAUUUUAGCCUUUGUACAUUUUAAAAUGAGAAAAUAUUCAAUUUUUAAAGGGUAGUUAUCAAAAUCACGGUAAUUUUGGAACUGCAUUUUUGUUGUGAGUGCUGCUGCUUAGGUGUGGGGUGUGUGUAGGUUUUUAUUGUUUUUUAAAUCUGGUGUGUGUGUUCUGUUUUAUUUAAGAUUCCUCUGUUUGCUUUAACUCUUCAAAACCUGAGACCCGGAGCACUUUCCAAAUAGCUGCUCCUGCUGCCUGUGCCUGGCCUCCUGCUUUCUCUAGCCAACGACUGGUUUUGUAGCGCCAUGGUAGAGUGACAGGGCGACCAGUUGUGUUGGGACCAGGCUGGUGGGGCUGGAGCAUUGCCAGGGUGAUUUAUUUAGCCCUUUGCCCACACAGUUGCCAGAUGUCUGUCUGCUUCAAGACAAGCAAAUAUAUGUGCUUGCAGUUGUGUUAUUUAGUGCCUCAAUAAUAUUUCCAUGUUUCUUUCCAAGGGCAGAAUCUUUCAUGGUGCACACAGUUUAUCUAGGUACAGCCACAGUAGGUUUUAACCUCACAGACAACUCAGCGUGCUAGCUGCACCUCAGAAGGGUUAAAUUUACAAAGCUGCUCUUUUUCUUUUAUUUUCCUCCCUCUUUCUCUGGGUAUUCACACCUUCAAAAUCAUGAGGAUAAAAUUAAGGAAGCCUUGCUGAGACCUACGCUCUGCUGCCCUAAACCCCCUCAAGCUGUGAUGAUAUGUUCUGGUGCCUCCGAAGUGUGGAUUAAGUCUAAUUAAUGCUGUUCCUUAAUCAAUGGUUUUGACACAAAUGCAUCGAAGGGAUUUAUGUAAUUACAGCUGAAACAGCAAGGGCUUUUUGUGAGGAAGCUCCCAGUGCUGUGGUGGGGAAGUUUGCUCCUAGUGACGGGGUUUUGGCGUCCAGAUGCUGCAGCUGUGGGACUGCCCCAUCGAUCUUGGUUUUUUGUUUGCUUGGGCAGGUUUGAAGCUACUGGUUUGCACUGGAACAUGCCUGAGAUGUGAACAGGCACAUUCCUCAGGUAGCACAAGUUGUUAUAACAGAGUAUUGGCACCUUUUAUCCCUACCAACAGAACUAUUCCUGACCCACACAGCGAAAUGUUCUUUUUUGGAAAUGCCUCACAAGAGGUUAUAAUGAGCCAGCUGAUGAGGUGUUAUCGGUGUAUGCAAAGAGGAUUUUUGUAUUUCUUUAUUCUAAUGUGUAGAAAAGAAAAAAAAAAGAUCACAUUCCUCACAAUACAUCUAAGAGAAAAUAUGAGAGGGAUACGAAACAUUCAGGACCCUCUGGCCCUCCCAUUCUGCACUGCAGAUGGCUGACUUUGUCUCCAUCUUCUUCCCAGCACAAUGGACAUCAUCUGUGUGCCAUGUCUAUUAGUGUGAUCAGACAAGACAGGCGAGGACACAGAAGAAUAUACACCUAUUCGAUAGGCAGGGCUCUAGAAGGGGAAUUGCACUACUGCAAAAGAGAUUGAAUUAAAUGAUGAAACUUUGCAGUCCACUGACUGUGCUAAACCAGCUACAUUUUAUUCAGAGUGGUGAAUCUGUAAUGGAGAUUGGAAACACUGCCAAAGAGGCUGGAAUUACAUCUGUAUUGGAAUGGGAAGUUUCUGGUUCAAUAAGAAAUCAGAAGGAUCAAAGAAAAUUCGGCUGGGCAGGAUCUUUAGAAAUCCUCUAGUGUAGAUCAUGCAAUGUGCUGAGAGGCAUUAAUAUGUACCAGGGAGAUGCAAGGCUUAGGUUUAGGGCUAGAUCUAGGCUUUAGCAGUUUUGCGUUGUAAAAUUUCCCUGUCACAAUACCUCAUAUCAAAGGGUUUGCACAGCCCUGUGUACUUUGGCACAGAAGUGCAGGCACAGGAGUGAGCAGAGCUGCCCGUCCUUCGCUGAGUACCAGCGAGAUCCUCUGUAAACCAGUGCAACAUGAAAGAGGCUGGGACACAGGGCUGCAGAGAACAUGAUCCGGUCACGUCUGUCCUCUCUUCUAUGGGACCUUAUGCAGGGAAUAACUUGGUCAGCCCUGAGGAUUAAGGCUCUUCUGCCUUUUUUGGGAAGCACAAGAUGCAGUAUGCAGACACACAGGGCCUCAUGCAUUGCCAUCUGUAUGCUGAGGAUACAGCAGAAGCAAUGCCAAACUGUGGAUUAAAAUAGCAUUAACACCAUCUAGUUCGGGACAUUGCACUGAAGCAGUUGUACCGUGAGCCAAAUCUUUCUGACAAAAGAGAAAACAUUACCUUCAGUUUGCAUAGAGGCAGUCAAGAAGCUAUGUCAGAAGCUAUAGCGUACCUUGUUUUGUUUUUCUGGUUUGUUGGUUUUAAAGUCAAAUUGGUUGUUUUCAGCAGCUGGCAAAAGUGAACACAAUAAGAAGGCCAAAGACAGGGAAUGAUGUUGGGGUAUUUUGCUUCAGUAGGACCUGUGCCCUUUGUAAGUUAACUUGUAGCUGGCUAUCCACCCUUGCUCACAUUUCAUUUUAAUGGGGAUUUUCUCAGUUUUUAUGAUGAAAAGAUGUAGACAGAUCUAACUCUUUUCAGCAAUUCAGUGCUUUUAGCUGCAAAGCCAUAAUGGAAUGAAAAGUGUAAUUUGGAAAGGAACCAACAAUAUUUGUUUUAUUCUGUAGUUUCCCACUGAAAAAAAAUGAGGUGGCUUUUCCCCCCACUAUUCAAAACACAGAAAGAAAUUCUAACAACAGCUCACAACUGGAAGGAAUUAACCAAGUGAAGACAUGAGCUACAACUUGUGAAAGCUGUUUUCAAAAAGUGUUUGAAGGAUCCACUGAAUCACUGCACCGCCUCAUUCCUCACCGGGCUGUGCUGCUGCUGGAGCCGCUCACAGCUGCCUGCAUUGCUCUGACCUGCUCCUGCAGGCUACUCAGACUGAAACUAAUGUACAAAUAUUUACAGGAGCCUUUAAAAAUCCGCCUUUCAUCCAUCUGACUUCCUUGUUUCAGAUGUAAUGCGAUGCUUCCACCAUAUCUAAUUCUUCUCUUAUUUGACAGAGUUUUAAGACCUAUUAUGCUCCAUCAUUUCACAGGAGCUCUCCAGUAAAAUCUAGGGGGUUGGUAACUUUGAAAUUUGUCUCUAUAGUUGUCUUAGUUAGCAUUUAAAGUUUAAUUAUUCCAUCCUGGCUAGACACACAGCAAGCUCUGGCCUUAUAUUUCUACUGUUUCAUUUUACUUUCCUUCAGGGAUUUCUGUCUUGCAGCUUGCAUUCACAGGGAAAAAGAAAAAGUGCUCUGAAGUUCUGGUUAAAUAAAACCAUCUUGUUCUGAGGUCCAAGAAAUCUUGUGAUAAAGCCUAGUUCUCUGAUGUGAACUCCUCCAGAUUGGCUGAGAAACUGAAAACGUGUAUAUUUAUUUGAGCAGAACAAAUAUUUAUAGGAGCCUUGGAAGCCCUGGCUCCUGCCAGCUGGAGCCUUCCAGGUGGGUUGGCCCUUGCCUGUGCGGGUGGGAGCGGGGCAGAGACGGGGGAGAAUUAACGCAUUUAAACACAUUUAAUAUUUUUGGGCUUUUCCUCUUCCUCAGAACAGCAAGCGAAAUUGUGAAGCUCGUUUUACCCAUUAGAGGGCAGAAAUGUAACAGCAAAGAGUGUGCAAAGAGUCACACAGCGAAGCGGGGCCCCUCAGUGAACCCUGCGCAAUCUGGAUGGGGAUCUGUGGUAAUGUGCCCCUGGGGAAGGCAAGAGAACGGAAAAGGGUGCAAACUGGAAUGGGGUUAUAUAAUGAAACAAGUGUCUGUUGAGCAUUUUUAGCAGGGAAAAUCAGAGGAUAAACCUUUGCCAGUUGACUUGAUAGAAAUUGUGAAAGAGGAGGUGCUUCUUCUCAAAAUAUUAGUUUUGUCAAAGAUUUCAUAGGUGGUAUUGGAACAAGGGGUGAAGUCAGUAUGAGGAUGCUCCCAAACCCAUUACUUACACUGACUUGCACUGGGAAUUUGUCUCAUUCCUUUCCUGGCCUCUGCAGGAGAAGAAAUCCAGUGAUCCCUGGCUUGUUUAAUCAAAAUAUCUCUGCAAUUGCCUUUGCUUCAGGGAUUGUCUGUUUGCACAGAAGAUUGCUCAUCUGAAUCUCAGAAACAUUUGCUUCAUCUCCUUCCCUCUUCGCCGAAGACGCCUGGUUUGCAGCAGCGUGUAGCUCCCCUCCACAAACAAGACUGCAGAACUACUUGGGAAGCCAAACACAGCUCUCCAGAUUUAUUAAAAUGCAUUGCUUGCUUUCUGUCAUCAGUGUUGAUGUCGGUAAGAACAACAGGGCGAACACCUUAAUAGGCAAGCCGAGAGCCUCUGUAGUGUUUAUCUCACACACAUGCAAAGUUUGAAUGUGGCUCAGCUAUUGCAUUACAGGCAAUGGUGGUAUUAGUUUUGAAUGGUGUUGGAAUUAAGUACAACUGUGCCCAGGUAGAAGCCUAGAUAGCUGUUGAGCUUGGUACUGAGCUGCAGAGCCAGUUGCCUCCAGGGCUGCAGUCUGAACCCAGACCCAUCCUUACGGAUGCAGGUCUCUGGGGCAGUGUUGCAGCAGAAGAAAGCUUUCAGCUGGCUCAGACUGGACACAGAGGCUGUGACCUGUCACCCUGGAGGUAUGGAGUGCUGUGAGGGCUGCUACUGUGCAUCUGCCACUCUCCAUCCACACUGAUGAAAUAAAAGAGAAAGAAGCAGCUCUUCAGGUGCUUUGCUAGGAGAGCAUAUUACAGAAAUAGAAACAAUUCACCCGGCACUGCCCUCCCGUGGGUAAAGCCGCCUUUCCACAAUGCACAACAGCACAAAAAAAUGCUCCUUAUCCACUCACAGGAGAAUAGUCUUCUCUGAUGCCAGUACAGCAGAGCUGCUCCAAUUAGUUAAUAAUUUUAAUGGUAGGGGUAUUUUUUUGGAUCUGAAAAGCUGUGGCCACUGUCCAAAUUGUCUAGGUCUUUUUAAUGUGAAUACAUAUUACAAAUAUACAACAGAGAGAUAAAAAGCCUCACUGAAUAGCUGUAGAAAGAGGCUGAAGGACAGUGUUGAAUUGCUGAAAUAAAAAUACAUCAGUGGAUGCAGAUGGAUCUCACCUGUGAGAAUCGAAGUCCCUUUUGUCUGAAUAUCUAGUUGUGACCAGCUGGGGUUUGCAUCCCAUCUCAAAAGAUAGAGCUAUUUGUUUAAAAUGCUUAACCUUUUUUUUAAGAGUUGCUUCAGUAAUGACUCAUGGAGGAGACUGCAGUGAAUUGAAUCACUACUCAAAUUAUCUGCUGUGUGAAGAAUUUAGUUGCAGAAAAAAGGUUAGUGAAAAACCUCUAAGGUCUAAGGUGAUCACAGACCAAACUGCUGUAAUCCUUUUGACUUGCCAAAUGCUGCACUUGGCUCAGCCUCACUGCCGAUGGCAUUUUCCAUUGCCAGAUUGUUCUACUUUUCUUUGGUUUAUGUUGGUAUUGCCCAAUGUCCGUAUAUAGGGUAACUCAAUGUUUCCAUUCAGUGCUUUUGUGUGUAAAAUGUGUUAAUCUGUUCUAAGCAGAAGAGCAUCUUCUGUAAGCUGAUAUUUUGGCACCUCCUUUGGUCAGUAGUUAUUUCGAUUUCCCUGAGACGUUUGAAGGGGAAACAUGUCCUGGCACAGAAAGCAGAACUGCAGAAGCCCCACUGCUAAAAGGCACUGAGGUAUCUUCAGCUGGUGGGAUCCUUCCAUCAAAGAUGUCCAGGCCUACAUAGACAUGCUGGAAUUGUGGUGGUAACCUUGUAGACACGAUUUCCUGUGUCAAGGAAGGUACUUUGUUCCUCACAGGUCAAGGGCUGUAUCAGAAAGGUGAGGACUUUCUGAGGAGGUUGAAGUUUUAGUCUUUAAGGACAACCGACUAUGGAGAAUCUGGUCCUAAGGAUGGCAAGGGGCUAAGGUCCAACCAGGGAUGUCUGUGAGCAGUCUCAGCAGAGGCUAUCUAAGAUAUCAGUGACUCAAUUUGUAGGCAGAGCUGCCUGGCACAGCCAUGGCCUGCAGCCCCCUGCCCACCGCUGCCGACAGGGCUGUCUCACUGCUGUAUCUCAUCAGCUUUCCUUGCUCAUCAUUGACUGAGUGUUGAUUCAAACCAGGGGGAGUCUUGCAGCUCCAAAGUAACCAUGUGGAGAGAUCAAGCAUUUCAUGGGAAUCUGAGUAACCUGUUGGAUGGCGAGGGAGGGGAUGACAAAACCUCGAUUUCCCACAGUGAGUGAUGAAAUAAUUACAUCGUAACUGACAAAGCCGACGAUUUUAAAGAGGAUAAAUUUCCCAAGGGCUAUACUAAGAUGACAAGCUUUCAGCUCUGCUGUAUCAUUUACUGCUCUUCCUUGUGCUGAUUUUUUAUAGUGGUUUUUAUAGUGGUUUCUGUGGAGAAACUGGCUUCUCAGCAAAAUUCAUGAGGCAGAAUGAGACCCUCAGAUGGGGUCUGGGAUUUCAUCACAGAGCUUUUCAUAUAUUUCAAAAAGCAUAUUAAUGUUAGGAGAGCACAUUUAUCACAUACCUACUAGUUUGCUUCCUAGCCCACACCACAAAAUUUUCACCCAGGGAUUCUUGCAGUGCUCUCAGGAGUUAUUGGCAGAAGCAUCUCCCUGGAUCUAAAGCAGAAUAUGCAAUUUAAUGUGACCGAAGUUUAAAGAAUGCUUCUCUUCUUUCUAAUACAAAUUAUUUGUGAAGAAUUAUCACUACUGCUAGCAUUAGAAUACAAGCGCAACAACUUAGACCUGGCAACCUUUAAUAGCUGUGCAUAUGUAGUCUCUUUGCUUUGUGACCCAGGAGAACAGUUUACUAAUAUUCCUCUUAAAGACUUAGUGUUUGUGUUGGGUUUCCUGUAAAUUCAUAGUGUUUCAUUUACAGCCAAGCUGCAACAAAACCCACAGAAAGAUUAGGAAGCCUUGCACGUAGAUACAGAAAAUGCAGUCACAAGACUGCUAAAUAGAAAUUGCUCUAUCUUUAAAUGAUCACGAGCUGUCAGCUGGUCCUUUGUUUGGAUUAUUAUAGACACACAUAAAACAUUUGAUUGAAUGCUCAAGUUUUCACCAGCUAGCAUCCAGACGGAUGUCUGAUAAAAUAACAAACACACCCGACUCCACCCCUCCUCAAAAUCCCCUUCCUGCUUCUGCUGAAUUCCUCCUUGUAUUGAAGCCAGUAUUUCAUGGACUGAAUUGGACAAAGCAAGCAAACAAUCUCCUUUGCAUUGAUUUCCAAAUCAAAUAACUGUUGAUCGCAUCAAUAUUCCCAGCCAAUUCUACAGUCUCAGAGGGCAGCUUUCUGGCUCAAACAAGCUCCUCUGUAUGGAUGCCAUAGGGUGCUCUCUGUGUGCCACCCGGAUUUGCUAUUAAUUAUUGUUCAAAACAUUCAGGUCUGAUUCUCUCACCUCUUUCUUUCCCCUUUCCUCUCAUGCAGCAAGAAAUAGAAAUACUAUUAUUUGCUUGACACCGGAUUUCUAACCUCUCUCAGUGUUGUGGAGGGGGGCAGCUGACUAGUGCUAAAAUACAGAUCCAGGGCACCACUGGCUUGCCUGUAAGAAACCACAAUCCCUCAGCCACUGGGAAGCGUGGCAGACAUUUCAGUGUGCUGAGCUACUAAUUUCUGGGGCUAACCUCUGCUUUUUUGUGAUACAACUCUGAUGAGGGGUGUGACAGCUUAAGGGGUAUGAGAGCCUGUGUCCUCUGGCUGUGCUGACUGUGGAGCAGAAUCCUGCUCCUACAGACAUCUGUCCAAGGGAUUAAUUUCAAAUUCAUGUGCAUCUCUAUGUUCAGUGAGAUGCCUCUCAUGCUUUGAACUAAGUGUGUGCCUGUGCUUUGGGAGGAUGGCAAUCAGGGCAGAAGCAGUGGAGUUGCGGUCUGGCCAUGUCAGGGGCAGCACUGAUGUUGGCAGCCCAAUGCUGGGGGGACCGGGGGAACUCAGCUCUUGUCCCCCCAAACAGCUCUGCCCGAGGUCAGGUCUCACUGCAGGCGGUGAUCAACUCUUUCUCUCCAUUGCCUAAGAUGGAGCAGAAAGGAAGAAAAUGUGGCAGACUCAAACAUGACUGUUUCCAGCAACAACGAGAAACCCCAGCAGUGUGCACACACAGGCAAAGAACCACACACACAGAGUGUGGUUCAGUGCAGAGGAGCCUGUCUGAGACUGGAUUAAUGGUCAGUCUCAUGAGACCAGAUUAACAGUCAGUCUGAAAAGGAGAGGAUGAGUCUUGAAGACCAAAAUACCUUCUUCUGGUCACACUAGGUUUACAGGAACUCUGUGCAUGUGUGGGCAUGGCUGUUUGCGAAAGCAUAUGCUGCCCAUUUGACAAGUAAUAUACCCUGUCGGAUAAGCAGGACUAUAUCUGUAGAAUCUAUUAGGAAUGGCAAAUUAAUUAAAAGUGUGAACUAAUUAACCUCCCUGUUCUCUGUCUCUUCUUUUGGCAGGACAGCAAGGCUCAUCCUGCCAUAAAUCCUGCAGCUGCCUGCACUGUGUCCCAGGCAGCCCCAGGUUUGUUAAUGACCCACGUGCUGUCCCUGUAUGUCUGGGGACCGAGGUGCCUUCUGCUUAAUGAGGCCACUGACAGUUUGGCGAUGCUUGCUGUAAAGGUCUUCUCCCCUGUGUCCGUACUCAAAUUGUCUGUGGACUGGUUUUCAUAUGGCCUUAGGCCAGUGUGUGAGCUGUAGAGCAGAGGCUGAGAUGGGAACAGGGUUUUGCGGGGUCUCUGUCUUAGAAUUGGAAACCUGAUGAGGUGAAGACCCCUCUAGAAAGAGAAACAAACUUCUCUUAAGAUGGUUGAACUGAAUUGAGAGAGUAUUGGUGUAACGUACAGACCUUUGAACUAUCCUUUAGCAGAGUAGGCUUUGCAUACCCUCAAGGAGGCUUUAGCCAAGGGGAAACUGAGGCUAACUUCACAUCUGCUGUGGUUAACCUGCCACAGACCACUGCAUCCUCUGCGAACAGCAGAGGCUGCGCACGAGGCGUUGAGCACAGCACGAGGCUCUGCAGCGGCUGCACAACCAGCCCACGUCAGCGCUACAGGUGGCACUACCCCGUGAGAACGAGUCUUUAUUCUCUUGCUGUCACAUUUUCUACUCACUUGUAAAUCAACUUGCCAUGUUCUCUCAUUAUAACGUUUUACUCCUCCGAAAGUUGCUGUUUGCACAGUGGCAUGUGUACAAUGCUAUUUCCCCCCUCUGAAUAAUCAUUUUCAUAAUCUGAAACUGAAAAGAAAACCCAAACAACUACCAUGGAAGAAAGGAAAAUUCUCACAGAAUGAAUCUCCAUAGACUCAGUUAAAUUUCCCCAUAAAUGUAUAUUACUUCUGUAGCUUCCUAUGAAGGCAGCAGUGAGGAGAAUGAUUCUGCUCAGUUUUUACCUACUGACCCUACCAAAUACUUUCCUCAGCAUGCUAUUAGAGGUGCCACAGAGCUGAUGCAUUUGCUAUUUUCUGUUAAAUAGAGCUGAUAUUCAAACCGAGUGAUGUCUCUUGUCACAAACAUAAUUUCAUCCUUCUACCACACUUGCCAAGAACAACGCAGCGGCCUUGCUGUUAGAUACCGUGCUUGGUUCAUUACUUUAAAAUAUGUUAGCACUUUGUUUAUAAUGGGUUUGAUGUGUUAAACAAUGUAGGUGCUGAAUUUUUAAUGGUAACAAUAAGGUAUUUAUUUUAUUUGUGUUUGAAGAAGGAGCAGGAAGCACAAGUACCUUGUAAGAAAGCUUGUUUAUUGUGUGACUACGUCCAGUUUUGCAGCCAUGCCAAAUCACGCCAGCACCAUUUUCUGAGCUGACCCUGAAGCUGUUGCAAUGACUACAGGUGAUUUGUCAUUUACAGGUGUUAUAAAAAGUACUUUAGGGGCUCUUGCAGCUUGUGAAUGAGUUUUACCUUUAUCCUCACAGUUCAGCAGAGAGGGUCUGGCCAGCUGUAGGGUCUAAGCUGCAACAAGAGGGAGAAAAUCUCUCCUGUGCUCAAAGCACCUUUAAAUCUGUGGCAGAGAUAUAUCUUGUGUGGGUGCUAAGUUUGACAUAGGCAUGGGUUGGAAUUUCAGGAACAUGUGGCCAUUGGCACCAGCUCCCAUAUUACCUUCUGGUCUUUGAGUGCUUUGUUCAGGUCUGAUGUGUCUAAUUCUUAGUGAGAUUGAAACCCCACCAAGAGUCCUGAAAUCAUCCUGCAAGGAGCAGAGCAUGAACUGCAGCAGGGCAGCAGGGAAGGGACCAGCUGUGGGUCCUCACAGCGUGGAGCAGCUCACAGCAUCCCUUGCUGCCAAGGGUCUGUGCUGGGUGGCUUCUUACUGAGGAGUCUGAAGGCAGUCAGUGAUAAAUAUAAUUAUGGGUUGCUGGAUGCAUUGUGGGAGAAGCACGGUGGCAUCCAUGCCCAGGGUGGGCUUCAGCUCGCCCUGCAUGGCUGCUGCACCUUCUCCUUGUGUCCCAGCCCCACAUCAGCCCCUUUCCCCAGGGCAACUGCACAUUCCUGUUGAUGUGUCCACAAAGAACUUAACUGGUCUUUCCCCUGCUUGGAAAAAAAGUUAAGAGGCUGCACAAAAUUUCCAUUCUGCAACAGGAAUGUGGGGGUUCCCCUGGGCAGGACUCCCCAGUGGCGUGUGGGGAAGAGAGGCAACAUUAUAAGGAAGGACUAUUUGAGAGUAUUUUUGCAAGAAAAACAGAAAUAUUUUAAUUUUAAAGCCUUGUGCACAAAAUUUGGCUUCCUCUGAAACUGGAAAUUGUCUCACAGCAACAUAUGCUAAUUCAUUAGAUGAAUUUCAUUCAUUGAAAUGCGAACUAGAGUAAUUUCUUCCUACUUUUGAAUGCAAAUUGCAAUUCAGCCUUAACUAUGGUGGUAUUCCCAUUACACAGGGCUGCAGAAUGUCAUAUUUACUUUGCUCUUGCUUUUAACUUAGCAAAAUCUUUUCUCAAUAAGCUUCAUCUCCACCCAGAGCAGUCUGUUGUGCUGUUCCUCGCAUUGCAGUUUUGCACUGAGGGGUUGGCUCAGCCUCUCCAAGUAACAGCACCACCAUGCCAUGAGUGUCCUGGACACCUGGAGGGACCACAUGGUGACUUACAGUUCCCUUCUUGUCUCAUUCCUGGUGGGAACUGGGUCUGUCUAACCUGCAGCAGUCUAACACAGAGCAGGAAUCUGCUGAGGCAUAGCCAAUAUCUGGCUUGUUUUCACUUUGAUUUAAAUGAGCAAUUAGUUAAUAAAUAGAGGAAUUUUUGUUUCAUUCUAGUUUGCAACUUGGAUUAAUGAUUCUUCAGCAAAAAUAAACUACCCAAAUAAUAACAUCUUUAUAUUCUCAAGGCUUCUCUUUGGGCUGCUUAUGAAAAUGCUGCAUAACCUCAUUCAGUACUGAACUCACACUCAUAUGAGCAUCAUAACCAUUGAAAGAAACAAGAGGAAUAGCAAGAGGGAGACACAGAGGGGGAGAGAAUGAAGUCUGCUUCCCCCUAUGCAUUUGAUAGUUUCUUAAAUACUGUUUUGAUAGCUUUCUUCUGCUCACAAUAGACUUGCCUGUGUAUUUAUGUGUGUUAUUCUCUCUUUAUGAAGCUAAUGACUGCCUGAAAUCAUUCACUGAAAGUAAUUGUUUGGACAUCCCUCUAUGUAUUUUAAAAGGUGAUAAAGUAUAAGGUUUUCAUUACUGUUCAGCUCACAUGUGGCAUCAACCCCAGCCCGUGUCUGGCAAGCCAAGUCAAUAGCCUCACUCUAUAUUCCACCCACAUAUUUUCCUUUCCUGAGCUUAUUCUGUCUGACUUGAUGCUGCUGGGUGGGGUUGUCACAGGAGGAGCUGUGUGCAGCAGAGAACGCUCUGGUUUGGAGCGGGGAGCUCAUGUGAGGAAUUAAAACUCCUGUUGUGACAGAGAUGGCAACAAAAGCAGAAAACUCCCUUGUGCAGAAGGAAGAAAGUCUUUGUGACAACUGAGACGUUCAGAGCUGAUACGUGCAUAUCGAGCAGUGACUUUCACACUAAUUUCCAAAGUGCUGCUAAUGUCAGCCUAGGUCAGGUCUUGAAGUUUUUUUGCCAAAGCCUGCCUGGCCGGGUUGCGUUCCACUGCUGCGGCUGGCUGACGGGAUUUGUUCCCAUCUAUACUUUAGCAUAAUGGACACACAAGUUACAGUGAGAAGAAGACAAAUCUCCUUUAAUGCCCUCCCACCCCAUUCCAAAAUCCUUGGGAUUUUGUGUGCCAAUUGCACAUAACAAGGAAAACCAACUCAAGGUUCUCCAUGUUAGGGCCAGCAGAGUCGUAUGAUCUGUCAGGCAGUGUGAGCUGCCCAUUGAACAAUGUAAUUUCCCUACCAUAUAAAAUCACUGCUGCACCCUCCCACGGCUGUCACCUGUCUCCAAAGGGCCAUUAUUGCCCAGUCUAUAGGUGCUUGAGGUAAGCAAAUAUCUCAAGCUGAGAAAGCUGGUAUUGAUACAUUAUAAUAAAAUCCUUCAACCUUAAAAUUGCUUAUGGUAAAAAGCUCCAGUUUGUAGAUGGCCCUGUCUAACAGACCAAACCAUAUCAGGAGCUUAGGAAUAAACCUGGCAUACACUUGCGUGACUGUUUAUAGGGUGAGGGAAGACUGGCACAACAUACAAAGAAGCUGUGUUUGAAGGAAAGGCAUUUUAACAGUCUUAAUCUUCACCUUUCAGUAUUUAAGUCACAGUGCAGCUUCCUGCCAUUCUUAGAGCAAUUAAAAUGCAAUUACUUUUUCAUCUUUAUUUCAGUUCUUGAAUAAUUAAAGCCUCUUUACAUCAAGAGUGAUCCAUAAAGGAAGGCAUUCUGCGUGUGAAAAGCCACGAAGGGUGGGAGACUUUGGGGUGUGACAGUCAGCAGCUGAUCAACUGAGGCUGGCAGUGCUACACUCUUUCCAGUUGUACAGAGUUGCUCAAGGCUUCAUUACACCAGACCCCAGGGAAUACCUAACCUGAUCUUUAUUGCAUGUAUAGACCACCUGCCUGGGAAGUUUCAUGGACCCCACUACUGGUAAGACCAAUGUUUAAAAAGGUCUGUGGAAUUUCAAGGGUGUUUGGACUUGAUGGAUGGACUCUUGGGAUUUUCAUGACUCCUUCUGGCACCGCAAGCAUCAGCAAGCAUGGGUUUGAGUGAUUGGAGCCCAGUCCUGUACCCCAGGAGCCAGCGUGUCUGUGGACCUGGCUGCUUAGAAUGGGGAAGGGACAGAAAAGGAGGUGACAUGAGUAAGGACUGUAUGUGGCUGUAAUGCCAGGAGCUUUAGGUGAAAAUUGAAGCAAACCUUGGAUUUUUCUGCCUGUUAAAAUUAAGGCUAGCUGUCUCCUUUACUUGUUUUCACUAGGCCAGCUGGCCAAUGUGCAGAAUAGCCACACAAAUUGCCAUCAUCCCAGACAACCCCUUGAUCUACUCACUGCCUGGUCUUACAGUGAAGAAAGGUUUUACCCUGCUUGGUUGUACAGUGAAACUGUAGUUCUGUCCUCUAUAUCACAGUCGCUGCAGGGCACAAUGCUCCUCAAGGUGACAGAGCCGGGGGUGACAUGGCAUCCCAGACUGCCAUGCCCUGGCCUGGCUGUGCUGCAAUGAGAAUAAGCAACCACAGGAGAAGGAUGGAAAAUUACCUGCCAAGUCAUUUGGUUUCCGUACGAGUGGUUCCCUCCCUGUUCACUCAGCUGCAGAAGUUUUCUCUAAACACGUAUUCCUGCAGCUUGCAGCCAAUUCCACUUGCUUUCUCUCCUACAAUUUCUCCUGUCCUUGAAUUUGAUUGAACCAAGCUGUAACCAGUGUGGUACUCAGGGCUUGGAGAAUAUGGUUGCAUGAGCUGUGCUCUGAAAAAUUAAAAGAGUUGACCCAUUGCUCUCCUCACCGUUCACCUCCAACCCCAAACACGCAGCAAGGCCUGGGCUUGAGCUGGGUAGUUGCUGAAUUUUUAUUAUCUUAGGCAAUUUUACUCUGCAGAUUGAUUUCUGUGAAACAUCUCAGGGUAUUUGCUAACACAAACGCUCCUCCAGUGGUACAGGCUGUUUGUUUACAUCGAUAGGAGGAAAAGAGCCUUUAUUACUGAAACUUUGCCUUCUUCCCUCAAGCUUCUCCCCAGGGGCCAGCACACAGGCAAUAUUGAUACCUGCUUUUUUAAUUUAGGACCAAUUUUCUCUAUAGAUGAAAGUGACAAUGCAUAAAUAAUACACCACUUUGCUGCAUGGAUUGUUUGUUCCAGACCUCAUUGGCAUGCACAGCGCACAGGCAAAAGCUUCUCUGGAUGGGUAUUGUCAGAUAACUUGCCAGGUUGUUCCCUAGAGAAAAUCACUGGGAACACAGAGCUGGAGUUUGUAAAGUCUUUUUAUUUUAUCCUUUCAAUGUUCUCUGUGCUGGUACAGCAAAGUUCAAGCUGAAUCAGCACUCCCAUUAAAAAUCCUUAUUUUCAGGAAUUUAUAAGCUGCCUCCGAAAAGAAAGAGAGCAGGACACGACUGUGCAAGAGCAGAGCUCCUGGGAUGAAGUCGCUCACGCUAGAUUUUUAAAAAGCACACAAACGCGGAAUGAGAAAUGCUGUUUGUAUGAAGCAAACGAUGGUGUUGGGGGGCAGCGGGGCUGCGGAAGGUGGGCACUGGGGAGGUCAUGCUGCCCAACGCAGUCUGGCUAUGCGUACGGGUGCCCUCCUGCCUGCGCCCCAUAGCCCUUCGCCUCUCAGGGGACUUCUGGGCUCCAAGGGGACACACAUGCCUGGGCGGCUUGUUUGCUGUGGAGUUUAGCCUGGUGCAUGGUAUAUUCUGCUUAAAUAGAUUAUGAAAGACCCAAUUGUCCCAUUAAUUGCAAAACUCUCAAGAACUUUGUUAUGAGCAGACCUUAAAUGUGCAGUUUAGAGCCUUAAUCACUUGAUGUGCCAUAUGCCAUUCCCCAAAUCUAAUACUAUGAGCAAAACUUACACCUAAGUGCUAUGUGAUGAACUCAAUUUACAACUGAUACCAAAUAAUAUUAAAUUAUUUCUUACUGUCUUACUGCUGGGAAAUAUCUUCUGCAUUUUUUCCAUGGUAGUAUGUUAUGAAAUCUUCUGAAAUGAGGAGUGAAAGGGAUUUGAUUUAGAAAUACUGAAUAAUAAACUCUGACCUGCUCUUACUCUGGGAGCAGUCUGGGUGUUUUCUGGAAAAAUGUGGAAUGGCAACCAACACCUCUGCCUCUGCCCAUCUCACAGACUCAUGGUUUGCAAAAUGGCUGUAUAUUAAAUCCACAUUAGGUUUACAGUUCAUAGCAGUGCCUCACUGGCUACGUAAUGCACGGAGACAUUCUCAACAUCCGAAUUCAGGAAUGGCCCAUGAUUUUGGAAGCUAAUGUAAGUAUAGAGGAUUUUCCUCAGCAUGGUGUUUGGUGUUAUUUGUUUCAGAUUAGCAGAGUCUACCUCUUCUCUCAGCAUCUAGAGAUGACAAGGGAACAUGCUACUGACUGGAUUAAGUUUUUUUUUUUUUUUUUAAUGUUUAUUAUUAAAUUUUGCAAAAAUGCAGGCAGUGAAAUAUAGGCCUGAGAAGCUUAGUCAAAGCAAGCCUAUUACCCAGAGGAAAUUACAGCAAUCUAGCAUGUAUUAGUGGGGAAAAAAAGAAAAAUAAAAUUCAUUUUGUUAAAUGAGACUUCUUUGGGUUGUCUGGUGGAAUUGUUCUUUUCAUUACAAAGUAAAUGCCAGGCUAAGCUGCAACAAUAAUAUAAGUAUGGUAAUAAGAUAAUGAAUGCUGAUGGACAGCUGACAUAAAUUUAGCCGCAUGAUCCAGCUGGUCUUAUAAGAGUAAAAUGUCCUAGUUAAUGGGCAGGAAAGGCUUGGAAAAAGGAACAUGUAAAGCGUAUUGAGUGAGGCAUAGAAGCCAAGUUACUUUUGGACCUACUUUGCUCUGCACGGUGUCCAUCAAGAAGCCGCAGCCCUGUGCCGUCAACCUCGGGUGAGGAGGCUGCAAGGCUGAAGAUGACGGGUGGGUUUGAGCUCUUCACUUCUGCAGCUUGACUGGAGGAACCUGGUUUGAUUUCAGUAGCAAAAAGUGCUAACACACAGAGCUUGUUUUCUGAUGAAUACACAUGGGAGGGCUCAGAGGAACUGCUCUGUGGGGAGAACAGGAGUAUUGGCUGCAUUUUAUUUUAUUUUAUUUUUAGGCCCACAAAUUCUGUGUCUGAGUUAGACGGCCAGGUUUUUAGGCUCCCUCUAUAGUCAGCAGAAACAGACAGAUAAGCUGCCUCUAUGGACAACUGUUCCAGCUGCUCCUGCCUUUCCUCAUCCUCCUUGUCUCAGAGCCCCUAAACAGAUUAGCAAGAGGAAAUUAAAUCAUUCCCCAGAGCUGGCCAGGUUUUCCUAUCCACCCCAGAUCUCUUUGGCAGGCAACUGAAGCCCUUGUAGGAACAGUGGGAGAUGUUAGUCGGAGAGUUAACACAUCAAACCUGGUACCGUCUGUCACACACAACUCCAAACAAACAAAAAAGUAUUUCUGAAUUAGGUUACAUCAACAGCUUUGCUCCUGCCCAUAGCUAAACACACCUUCCUUGCUGUAUGCUGAAAAGGCUCAUGUAAUCUCUACUUUUAUUGAUUUAAGCAAGCUUCCCUCUUCAAAAAGUGCCUAAAAAACUGGCUGGGCUGUUAUGGUGGGCUCAUCAAGGUAAGGUCACAAAUUAGCCACUAAUACCAGAAAUAUAGAACUGUAUUUUUUUUUUUUUUAGUUUCUAUAAACCUUCAGCUGAGGAGCAGUUCCCCAGAGGAACUGCCAGUGUCACAGAUACUCUCACACCAACAACACUGUGUGACCAAAAAUCUCGCAUGGGUGUGGGGACACCUUAUACAAAUAAUGCACACACCAAGGGGACUUGGAAUAGCUGAAAGGAAUAGCUGUAUUUUGGGUAUAAUUGAGGAGCUGUGUGUUAGCCCCACAGCAACACC